rnacentral:rRNA from 1 species
GACGAACGCUGGCGGCGUGCUUAACACAUGCAAGUCGAACGGUGACGGAGAGCUUGCUCUCCUGAUCAGUGGCGAACGGGUGAGUAACACGUGGGCAACCUGCCCCAGACUUCGGGAUAACGCUUCGAAAGAGGUGCUAAUACCGAAUACGAACGCCGUGGGCAUCCACGGUGUUGGAAAGUUUUUCGGUCUGGGAUGGUCCCGCGGGCUAUCGGGUUGUUGGUGUGGUAAUGGCGCACCAAGGCGACGACGGGUAGCCGGCCUGAGAGGGCGACCGGCCACACUGGGACUGAGACACGGCCCAGACUCCUACGGGAGGCAGCAGUGGGGAAUAUUGCGCAAUGGGCGAAAGCCUGACGCAGCAACGCCGCGUGGGGGAUGAAGGCCUUCGGGUUGUAAACCUCUUUCAGCAGGAAGAAGCGAAAGUGACGGUACCUGCAGAAGAAGCACCGGCUAACUACGUGCCAGCCGCCGCCGUAA